UCACGCCCGCCCGACAACCUGAAAAUCCUGACCUUGGAGUUUAGAAGAAUCGGAACAUAAACAAUUCUGAAGAGGCUUAGCGUGGUAGAUGUUGUAAAAAAAAUUCCUCUGGCUAGAACACAGCAUCACAGUCUCAGAACAAGGGGUCAACCAUUUAGUGCUAGGGACAAGAUCACCCAUAACAACAGGGAGAGACCCCCGACCAGAUGGGGGUGCCAGAGCUCAGGCCACUCACCCCCUACAUGGAGCAGGUGGAACUACUGGCUGGAGAAGACAGGGACCAUUUCUGCACCGACGGUGAGAUCUGCAUCUCCCAACAAGCCAGUGAGGCCCAUCCACUAGUCUUUGCCCACCUGUUGGAACUGAAUACACAAGAAAAGGGGUUAAAAAACCAGCUGCAAACCUGAUCAAUGUGUUCUGGUUCUGGAGUGCUAGUGGGUGCUGUGAGGGUCACAGCAGAACAGCAACUAGGCAUCCCUGCAGCUUGCAGGUAAAAGUCUCUAUUCUUCCUCAGCAAAACCACAGUCAAAAAAGAAACAGGACAACUCCUUCAGCUAACCUGAAAAACCAAGUGUCUCCAAACCAACUGCUCAAUUGGCAAAGUCAGCUCUACCAGAAUCAGCCAACUUAACGGCCAUAAGGUUUCGCCAUCUACUCCUCAUGGACAAACCAAAGACUUAUUCGUAUAUCUUUUUUAACUUUUAU